GGAGAGCACAACACUCACGAACCUAACUUCCAGCUACAGCUGCUGCUACGGCCGCUCGUUCAAGAUACCGGAGCAAGCACAUCUGUUCACGGUGCUAGGCUACAUCACGUAGCAUGCCAGACGGACCCACCACAGAUGCGCACACAUGGAACGCAGCUUUCUAUGAAAACACUGCGACCUCACUACAAAAGUACAGGCACACAGAAAACUGUGCUGCACUGAUGUCGGUGUUGGGACCUCAGCUGUAAGAGACCUCGCUUGGAGGAGGGAGAGGACAACCCAAGUUGUUCAAGUAUGGACUUCGGAGAGCCACAGGAUGCUACCUAUGAUCCUGAUGACUCAAUCACAGUCUUGACUGAGUCAGCAGAUGUGACAUCACGUGGAUAACCUGUUGGACCUCAUCUUUCACGAGGUUUUUCAGGACCCGGCCCCAUAUGUGAAUGAGGUGCUGAAGAUCUCAAAACCUGAGGACCUCUCUGCUAAGUAUGAGAAACCUGACAAGCAGGAAGUUAUAGCCAGCUAUGUGUCGAGUUUCAAUCAAGGGCAGGUCUGAACCCUGUAUAACUUCCCUGAGCAUCAGGGAACACUCUGCGUAUCUGGAGCACCGAGCAGGAGGGCAGGACCACCCUUAUUCUCCGGCCCAGAUAGCCUCAACACCAGCUCACAAAGCUUCUCUACGACAAAUACCUGUAACGGCUGAGCAAAGUUCACAUUGUAUUUAGAGAAUAAAGGUGACACACAAAUAUAAAGUGUUCCUUUGUUUACAGUAUGGCUACU